rnacentral:rRNA from 1 species
AGUGGGGAAUAUUGGACAAUGGGCGCAAGCCUGAUCCAGCCAUGCCGCGUGAGUGAUGAAGGCCUUCGGGUUGUAAAGCUCUUUUGUCCGGGAAGAUAAUGACUGUACCGGAAGAAUAAGCCCCGGCAAACUUCGUGCCAGCAGCCGCGGUAAUACGAAGGGGGCUAGCGUUGUUCGGAAUCACUGGGCGUAAAGCGCACGUAGGCGGCUUGUUAAGUCAGAGGUGAAAGCCUGGAGCUCAACUCCAGAACUGCCUUUGAUACUGGCAAGCUCGAGGAUGGCAGAGGUUGGUGGAACUCCGAGUGUAGAGGUGAAAUUCGUAGAUAUUCGGAAGAACACCAGUGGCGAAGGCGGCCAACUGGGCCAUUACUGACGCUGAGGUGCGAAAGCGUGGGGAGCAAA